CGCUGCUUUGUUUGACACACACAGAAAAAGAAGACAAUAAAAAGAUGAGUGUUCAAAAUGCUGAUAGAGAGCAGUGUGACUCCCAAGUGUCACAGCGGCUCAGAUGCCACAUAGACCCCGGAUAUGGUUGUUUACAGGCACCGUUUGUUCAUGCUUCAAACGAGCUUCAAAGCAGGACUCUGUUCUUCCCUUUGUUCCCCAAAGAGAAGAUGCCAACCUGAGGCAGGAGCGAACAAUGUGAAAUGUACAGACUGUGAGAAGGUUUCCGCUGCGUAUCACUCAGCAUUUCACCCCCCAGAUUCCCCAUUAGUUAUCUGUUACGAGUUUCUCUGCUGUGGGGCCCUGCUCUCUCUUCAUUCACUCUCCCUGGCUGCAGCCAAGUGGAAGCCAUUGCCACCUUUUCCUUUGCAAUGCUAAGCAGUUUAGCUCAGUCCGAGCUCUCUCAAGUCCAGCCACCAGCUGGCCCAGGCUCAAAAAAGACUCAGGAAAGCACAUUAUCAAAGCAGGUCACCUGCAGAGGGAUUUUACCAGUAAGGGUCCUGGCAGGAACAGAUGGAGCACUCCAAUGGGUAAUUUGAAGAGAAUUUAAUUGAGGGACCAUUUAAAGGUAUAGGCCAGGUUUAGGGAAAACAAUUCAAGGGCUAGGAACAGCAGACUGACUUACCCCUCUGUACUAGGCAGAAUUCUAAGAAGACUUCCAAUGUGUUACACCCUCGUAUAAUCUGCCCUUAAAUAUGGGUGGAACAUAACCGGGUGUGGUGGCUCAUGCCUGUAAUUCCAACACUUUGGAAGGCCAAGGUGGGUGGAUCACCUGGGGUCAGGGGUUUGAGACCAGCCUGACCAACAUGGUGAAACCCUGUCUCUACUAAAAAUACAAAAAUUAGCCAGACAUGGUGGCAGGUGCCUGUAGUCCCAGCUACUCAGGAGUCUGAGGCAGGAGAAUCACUUGAACCUGGGAAGCAGAGGUUGCAGUGAGCCGAGAUUGCACCACUGCACUGCAGCCUGGGCAACAGAGCGAGACUCUGUCUCAAAAAAAAAUAAAAAUUUUUAAAAAAGGGUGGAACUUGUGAUUUGUGUCUAUCCAAUAGAAUAUGACAGAGGUUAUGGGAUAUCAGUCCUGUGAUUAAGUUCCAUUGUGGAGGACUCUGUCUUAGCUGACUAGAGUGAGAGAUUCUCCUGUUGGCCUUGGAGAAAUGAGCCACCAUGUUGUAAGGAAGUCAUCUGGCAAGGAACCACGGGUAACUUCUUUUUUUUUUUUUUUUUUGAUACAGAGUCUCGCUCUUUCGCCCAGGCUGGAGUGCAGGGGCGCCAUCUCGGCUCACUGUAAGCUCCGCCUCCUGGGUUCAUGCCAUUCUCCUGCCUCAGCCUCCCGAGUAGCUGGGACUACAGGUGCCCGCCACCACACCUGGCCAAUUUUUUGUAUGUUUAGUAUGUUUAGUAGAGACGGGGUUUCACCAUGUUAGCCAGGAUGGUCUUGAUCUCCUGAGCCUCCCAGGUUCAAGCGAUUCUCCUGCCUCAACCUCCCGAGUACCUGGGACUACAGGCACCUGCCACCACACCUGGCUAAUUUUUUGUAUUUUUAGGAGAGACAGGGUUUCACCAUGUUAGCCAGGAUGGUCUCAAUCUCCUGACCUUGUGAUCCACCCGCCUCGGCCUCCCAAAGUGCUGGGAUUACAGGCGUGAGCCACUGCGCCCGGCCUAUUUUUAUUUUUUUACUGAUUUUUAAAUGUUUUGUAGAAAUAAAGUCUUGCUUUAUUGCCCAGGCUGGUCUCAAACUCCUAGGCUCAAGCAUUCCUCCUUCCUUGGCCUUCCAAAGUGCUGAGAUUACAGGUGUGAGCCACCACACUGACCAGGGUUGGUUUUGUUUUCCUGGUUGGUUGGUUGGUUUGUUUUGUUUUUUGAGACAGGGUCUUACUCUAUUGCUCAGGCUGGAGUGCAGUGGCACAGUCAUAGCUCACCGCAGCCUUGACCUCCAGGAUUAAGCAAUCCUCCUACCUCGGCCUCCUGAGUAGCUGGGACCACAGGUGAGUACCCCCAGUGCCUGGCUAAUUUUUAAAAUUUUUUGUAGAGACAGUCUCCCUAUGUUGCCCAGGCUGGUUUUUAAUUCCUGGGCUCGAGGAAUCCUCCCGUGUCAGCAUCCCAAAAUGCUGGGAUUACAGGCGUGAGUCACCAUGCCAGCCCCAUUUUACAUUUAUAGGAUAUAAAAUGUGUCUUCAACCCAUGUGAAAUAGACCAAAGUUCAUUUUUACGUACAGAUAUGGAACCAUAUCCAAGAUAAAGAGAUAAGUGAGAAGAAAAUAAGGAUUGGGACAGUAUGUAUUUGCUGGUACGUGCAUAGAAAUGUUUCUGGAAGGUAACACAAAAACCUGUUAACAGUGGUUUUCCCUGGAGAGUGGGAAUAAGAUGGGGACUUUCCUGUAAAUUAUUUUGUAUCUUUUGAAUUUGGUCCCAUGUGUAUGUACUACAUCUUUGAAAACAUGAGUGAUUAAACAUUUUUAAAGGUGUCUGUACUCUACAAACCAAAAUAUACACUCAGCAUUGGAGAUGGCCUUCCAGAAAAUAAAAAUAAUGAAUUUUCCCCCAAUAGACAAGAUUGUCACUUAAUAAACUAUCCGUCCAUAUCUGAUAUUUAUCCUCAUGUGCUAAGAAUAAUUCAUUCACCUCCACCAACAAGCUAGUUUCCAUGAGGGGUACAGAGUUUUUAAUUAUGUAGCCAUGUACAAAAUCAGAAAUUUUCUGUCUUUCUGGUU
rnacentral:lncRNA from 1 species